GUGGUGUUGGUGGUGCUGCUGCUAUCGGCUUUUAAAAACAAAAGAAAAAAAAUUAAAUAAAAUCUUCAGUCAAUCCUAGUUCGUAUUUCAUCUCAAUUACCAAAAAGAAACUUUACAGAAAGUACUCACAUUGCUGCUCAAAACUCAGGGUGGUGUCAUUGAUCACUUGAGGAAGGAAGGAGAAAACAGACAGUUAAUGUGUUGCACCAAAGACCAACAACACACAAAAACGUUAACUGGUUGCUCAGACUGCUGCACUUGCACGUAUCUCCAUAAUUAAAGGAGCAACGACGCAUUAAUCUGCACGUGCAUCAGUGUGAGAAUAUGAUUGGCCAGCUGUUUUCUGAUCUCGUCAAAGCUCUGAUUUAUACUUCUGUGCGAUCGUAUCGGUGAGCAUGUCAAAAUGCUGUGUCCAGAUGCUCAAAAAGCGUCAAGUCUUUAUACGGUUACGAAAAAUACUUUAUUAUAUAUAAUAUACAUAAUAUGAACAAAAAAAGUCCUGUUAAAAAAAAACUAAAUUGAUUACCUGUGAGAUGCAGAAAUGUGCGACGUCUGUUACAAAACUAAUUUUAUGAAAAUCUGCUGAACAUAGAUGGAGUUUAAGAGCUUUCUCUCUAUAUAAACCUGCACUAGUUUAGCACCAUACGGAGGUAGCUAGCAAGAGCGUAAAACCACAGGUCUAUGUUAAUGUACUCGUUCAAAUACUUUAUCGUUUCUAUAGGAACAGCUCAUUAACAAGGAUUUGUAAAGCGGAUGCUUCACAAACAGAUUAAAAACGUGUAACGAUGUGGUGAAGUUUAUUUAAAGAUGUCAUGAUUUUUUAAAAAGUUAAUCAUUCUGUUUAUUGGGUGUAAUGGAAUAGAUUAACAUGCUUUAAUGUUCAAAACACCACCCCCAACAUACUGUACAUUACUGCAGUACAUCUAUUCCCAGUAUUCCUGUAACACUCCGACUGAGUUCGGGUUUCUCCAAAGCCCCGCCUUUCUGAAAAGCCUAGAGUGCUCUUAUUGGCCAGCUGAACCACUGCGUUGUGAUGAGCCAAAAACCUCAAGCGUGUGUUGGAAAUGUAAACACCACAUACUAUAAUCGCAAGCUUCAGCUUCCAAGGCAUCUGAAGUCAUUAUAAAUACAGUUAAUAAUGUCUGAGGUUUUACCGGAUCAGUUCGAGUCAGAUUCAG
ensembl:lncRNA